rnacentral:RNase_P_RNA from 1 species
UGUGCGGAUCGGGCCCUCGCUCCGCCGUCCCGACCCUCGUCGGAGGCGGCGGUGAGGAAAGUCCGAACACCGCAGGGCGCCGUGCUUUCUAACGGGAAGGCGUGCCGUCCCGACUACCGUCGGGGCGGAGCGACGGCACGUGCAAUAGAGAGCAGUCCCGCCCCGACUGGCUUGAUGCCGACCACUGUCGGGGCAAGGGGUGAAAGGGUGCGGUAAGAGCGCACCGGCGUUCCCGGUGACGGGAGCGGCCAGGCAAACCCCACGGGGUGAAAGGCCAAGCAGCACCGAGUCCCGACGACUGUCGGGAACAAGGUUGCCCGCCGACGGAACGGUGCAGGUAGGCCGCUUGAGACGGCCGGUGACGACCGUCCCAGAUAGAUGAUGGCCUCUCCGCCUCCCGGUCCGGUGCCGGGGGGUGGGCAGACCGAAUUCGGCUUACAGGUCCGCACGCUCC